rnacentral:rRNA from 1 species
ACGGCAUUAUGUGCUUGCACAUUCUGGACGUCGACCGGCGCACGGGUGAGUAUCGCGUAUCCAACCUGCCCCUUACUUGGGGAUACCCCGUUGAAAGACGGCCUAAUACCCGAUGUGUUUCAUUGACGGCAUCCGAUAUGAAACAAAGGUUUUCCCGGAAAGGAAGGGGAAGCCUCUGAAUAACUAUGUGGGGGGGCAACCGGCCCCCCAGGGGAACAAUCAUAAGGGGUCUGAAAAGAAAGGCCCCCCCCUUGGAACUGAAAACCCGGCCCAACUUCUAACGGAAGGAACAAUGAAGAAUAUUGGUCCAUGGAACCCAGUCUGAACCCACCCAAUAACGUGGAAGAAGACCGGCCUAUGGGUUGGAAACUGGUUUUAUGGGGGAAUAAAAUGGCGCACCGGGGCCCCCUUGCAUGGACCUCAUGAAUAAAGAACCGCUAAUUCCCUGGCCACAACCCCCGGAAUACCGAAAGGCCCGGCGGUAUUCCGAAUUAUUGGGGUUAAAGGGAAUGGAAGCCGGCUGGUAAACCUGGUGGGAAAUUUAAGGGGUCCACCUUUAACUU